rnacentral:rRNA from 1 species
AGAGUUUGAUCAUGGCUCAGGACGAACGCUGGCGGCAUGCCUAACACAUGCAAGUCGAACGAGAAAGUUCCUUCGGGAGCAAUUAAAGUGGCGCACGGGUGAGUAACGCGUAGACAAUCUGCCCUUCAGUCUGGGACAACUUUUCGAAAGGAGAGCUAAUACCGGAUAACAAUGCAUGACACAAGUUGUAUAUUUGAAAGCUUUAUGUGCUGAAGGAGGGGUCUGCGUCCCAUUAGCUAGUUGGUAAGGUAAAGGCUUACCAAGGCAACGAUGGGUAGCGGGUUUGAGAGGACGAUCCGCCACACUGGAACUGAGACACGGUCCAGACUCCUACGGGAGGCAGCAGUGGGGAAUAUUGCACAAUGGAGGAAACUCUGAUGCAGCAAUGUCGCGUGAGUGAAGAAGGCCCUUGGGUCGUAAAGCUCUUUUAUGGGGGAAGAUGAUGACGGUACCCCAAGAAUAAGCACCGGCUAACUAUGUGCCAGCAGCCGCGGUAAUACAUAGGGUGCGAGCGUUGUUCGGAAUUACUGGGCGUAAAGGGCGCGCAGGCGGAAUAGUAAGUCGGAGGUGAAAGCCCGGGGCUCAACCCCGGAGGGUCUUUCGAAACUACUAAUCUAGAGAGGGUCAGGGGCCGGCAGAAUUCCCGGUGUAGAGGUGAAAUUCGUAGAUAUCAGGAGGAAUACCGGUG